CCUACGGGACGCAGCAGUGGGGAAUAUUGGGCAAUGGGCGCAAGCCUGACCCAGCAACGCCGCGUGAAGGAAGAAGGCUUUCGGGUUGUAAACUUCUUUUCUCAGGGACGAAGCAAGUGACGGUACCUGAGGAAUAAGCCACGGCUAACUACGUGCCAGCAGCCGCGGUAAUACGUAGGUGGCAAGCGUUAUCCGGAUUUACUGGGUGUAAAGGGUGCGUAGGCGGCCCUGCAAGUCAGAAGUGAAAUCCAUGGGCUUAACCCGUGAACUGCUUUUGAAACUGCAGGACUUGAGUGGAGUAGAGG
rnacentral:rRNA from 1 species